GACGAACGCUGGCGGCGUGCUUAACACAUGCAAGUCGAACGGAAAGGCCCUGCUGUUGUGACGUGCUCGGGUAGCGGACGGGUGAGUAACACGUGAGUAACCUGCCCUUGACUUUGGGAUAACUUCAGGUAACUGGGGUAAAUACCGGAUAUGAUCUCCUGCUGCAUGGGGGGGGUAGGAAAGUUUCGGCGGUUGGGGAUGGACUCGCGGCUUAUCAGCUUGUUGGUGGGGUAGUGGCUUACCAAGGCUUUGGCGGGUAGCCGGCCUGGGCGGGUGACCGGCCACAUUGGGACUGAGAUACGGCCCAGACUCCUACGGGAGGCAGCAGGGGGGAAUAUUGCACAAUGGGCGGAAGCCGGAUGCAGCAACGCCGCGUGCGGGAUGACGGCCUUCGGUUUGUAACCCGUUUUCGCAUGUGACGAAGCGUGAGUGACGGUACCGGGUAAAGAAGCACCGGCUAACUACGUG
rnacentral:rRNA from 1 species